rnacentral:rRNA from 1 species
UACGUAGGGUGCGAGCGUUAAUCGGAAUUACUGGGCGUAAAGCGUGCGCAGGCGGCGCGUUAAGACAGGUGUGAAAGCCCCGAGCUUAACUUGGGAAUUGCGCUUGUGACUGGCGUGCCGGAGUGUGGCAGAGGGAGGUGGAAUUCCACGUGUAGCAGUGAAAUGCGUAGAGAUGUGGAGGAACACCGAUGGCGAAGGCAGCCUCCUGGGCCAGCACUGACGCUCAUGCACGAAAGCGUGGGGAGCAAACAGG